GGCGGUGCGUAACGGGCGCGUGAUCCGGCGUCCUGCGGGUCUUCCCCUCCCCAGGGGCACCCAGCAUGCUUUGGGCACGUGGCAGCUCAUGUCCUAAAUAGGAGUAGUCCUGGGCCGCUAUCCUGUGAGGGUGGAGACGCUCCCCGAGACUGGACAGACACCGAGAGGUGGAGCUGAGCCAAUACGAGGCUAAGGGAAUUCCAUGUAUUCCAGUUAUCCUGAGCUCACGUACAGCAGAGGAUACCCCCGAGUUUCACCGCCAUCUCUUACUAGGAUUCCAGGUGUGUGGCACUGCCUCUUGAAGUAUUAAGCGCUGAGUGAAGUGUGAGCCCAGGACUUCUUGCUUGCUGGGCUGUCCCAUCCCUGUGCCAUCUCUGCAGCCCUUGGAGGAUCCCUUUCAAGGCUUCUACCUGGAGCAACUGCCCACAGUUCUGCCUUAAGAGUGCCUGAGAGACCUGGCAUCUCACAGCCUGCCCUCCAAAUCAUCACUCACUCUGCCAGGCACACCAGGUCUUCCUCCCCUUCCUCGCCGCACCAAAGAAAUCAAAACCCAAACUGAGGUAUCAGAAACAUGUUUUUUUUUUUUUCUUUUAAUAGUAAACCUCUUUACAACAAAUAUAGUGAAAGAGUUUUCAAACCAAACUCGUAAGAAUCUCGAGGACUUUUCUUAAUGUGCAGAAUACUAGAAAGCAUCACCGUACAGCACGGAAAGAAAUAAUGAAAACAAACCAACAGCCACACACUUGGACUCACCCAGACCCAGGAGCCAGGAGUGUGGGUGAUUGUCAAGUUUGGGGACGGGUCAGCUCUUGGCUGGCCCAUCCCUCCCUUCUUCCCUCUUUCUGGGACUUGAAUGGGGGUAGAGAAUUCAGAUUCUCCUUGGGAAUCUCAGCCCUCCUGCCCCAUUACAUCCCACCCCUUCUGCUUAUGUAGAGGCAGACAGGGUAGAACAAGGAGCUCCCAGCCUCUUAGGAGAGCCUACAUUCCCCCACAGGGGUUCCAGAGAGUUAGGUAAAAAUAGAGAGAGAGAUAGAUUUAGAUACUUUUCCAUCAUUUCUGUCUCUCCAAACAAAUAAAUAACGAGCAAG
rnacentral:lncRNA from 1 species